AGGCUGGCUGGUGUUUACUCAGACCGCGGGAACUACGGAGGAGUCUUCAGACAUGCAGCCUCAAUGGAUGACAUCUGGCAGUACGAGGAACAUACAGACCAACUGAUGGAACAUCUUCUCUGUGCUGGAGCCCUGAGGAGGAGCAGCAGACUGGAUGCAGAACAGGACGUCAGGGAGAGGUGGACCUGAGGAACACAGCCACAGUGAAAUGACUUCUAUAUUUGAAGGAUUGUGUGUCUGUAAUGUGUUUUUCAGAAGCAGCUCGGCCGCCUCCAAGACCAGCUGUGGAUGCUGGAUGAACUCAGGGUCAGGGAACACCAGUGAAGCAAAAUAUUGUCUUGAUGCUU